AACAGGCUUUCGGGUGCUUGACGAGUGGCGAACGGGUGAGUAAUGCAUCGGAACGUGCCCAGUCGUGGGGGAUAACUGCUCGAAAGAGCAGCUAAUACCGCAUACGAUCUGUGGAUGAAAGCGGGGGACCUUCGGGCCUCGCGCGAUUGGAGCGGCCGAUGUCAGAUUAGGUAGUUGGUGGGGUAAAGGCCUACCAAGCCGACGAUCUGUAGCUGGUCUGAGAGGACGACCAGCCACACUGGGACUGAGACACGGCCCAGAUUCCUACGGGAGGCAGCAGUGGGGAAUUUUGGACAAUGGGCGCAAGCCUGAUCCAGCAAUGCCGCGUGCGGGAAGAAGGCCUUCGGGUUGUAAACCGCUUUUGUACGGAACGAUAAGGCUCUGGUUAAUACCUGGGGCUGAUGACGGU
rnacentral:rRNA from 1 species